rnacentral:rRNA from 1 species
AGUGAACGCUGGCGGUAGGCCUAACACAUGCAAGUCGAACGGCAGCACAGUAAGAGCUUGCUCUUACGGGUGGCGAGUGGCGGACGGGUGAGGAAUACAUCCGAAUCUACUUUUUCGUGGGGGAUAACGUAGGGAAACUUACGCUAAUACCGCAUACGACCUACGGGUGAAAGCAGGGGAUCUUCGGACCUUGCGCGAUUGAGUGAGCCGAUGUCGGAUUAGCUAGUUGGCGGGGUAAAGGCCUACCAAGGCGACGAUCCGUAGCUGGUCUGAGAGGGUGAACGGGAACAUUGGGCGUGAGAUACGGCCCAGAGUCCGACGUGGGGGAGCAGGGGGGAAUAGUGGAAAAUGGCUGUAAGGCUGAUGAAGCGACGCCGCGUGGGUGAUGACGGCCUUUGGGUUGUAAAAUACUUUCGCUAUGGACGAAGCGUUUUGUGACGGUACCUGGAGAAGAAGAACCGGCUAACUACGUG